rnacentral:rRNA from 1 species
UAGGAACUUUGGUAAGAACAAAAACAAGAGCAAGAAUCCAAAUAAAAAUUUUAAUUAAAAUUAAG